rnacentral:rRNA from 1 species
GUGCCAGCAGCCGCGGUAAUACGAAGGACCCGAGCGUUAUCCGGAUUUAUUGGGUUUAAAGGGUGCGUAGGCGGAUUAGUAAGUCAGUGGUGAAAGCCCAUCGCUUAACGGUGGAAUUGCCAUUGAUACUGCUAGUCUUGAGUAUGGUUGAGGUGGGCGGAAUGUGUCAUGUAGCGGUGAAAUGCUUAGAUAUGACCCAGAACACCAAUUGCGAAGGCAGCUCGCUAAACCAUAACUGACGCUGAUGCACGAAAGCGUGGGGAGCAAACAGGAUUAGAUACCCGCGUAGUCC